rnacentral:rRNA from 1 species
GGUGGGGACGACGUCAAGUCAUCAUGGCCCUUACGUGUAGGGCUACACACGUGCUACAAUGGCAUUUACAGAGGGAAGCGAGACAGUGAUGUGGAGCGGACCCCUUAAAGAAUGUCGUAGUCCGGAUUGGAGUCUGCAACUCGACUCCAUGAAGUCGGAAUCGCUAGUAAUCGCAGGUCAGAAUACUGCGGUGAAUACGUUCCCGGGCCUUGUACACACCGCCCGUCACACCAUGGGAG